CUCGUUUUCUUAAUGAGGAAACAUAAGAAAGUAAAUGACUUUAUGGAAGCUGGAAUGUUUAAUCUGUCAUCUUUGAUUGAAAGUCUCCUGAAGAAAUUUGCUGAACUACAACCCGAAUGCAUGGACAAACUGCAAGACCUUGCUCCGGAAGUGGUCAAUCAAUUAUUGCGAUCCUUUCCAAGUGAUGAUACUAAUAGCUUCAGAUCAUCUUCAGACAGUGAUAACCUUGCUCCGGAAGUGGUCAAUCAAUUAGCUCGAUCCUUUCCAAGUGAUGAUACUAAUAGCUUCAGAUCAUUUUCAGACAGUGAUAAGCGUAAGGCUAAAGCUCGAGAGAGACAAGCUGCUAUACUGG
rnacentral:lncRNA from 1 species